UACAGAGGGUGCGAGCGUUGUCCGGAAUCACUGGGCGUAAAGGGCGCGUAGGUGGCGACCCAAGUCUGUGGUAAAAGCUCGCCGCUUAACGGCGAGUCGGCCACGGGAUACUGGGUGCUCGGAGCACUGUAGGGGCAGAUGGAAUUCCGGGUGUAGCGGUGGGAAUGCGUAGAGAUCCGGAAGAACACCGGUGGCCGAAGGCGGUCGCUGGGCAGUAGCUGGACACUGAGGCGCGAC
rnacentral:rRNA from 1 species